rnacentral:rRNA from 1 species
AGAGUUUGAUCCUGGCUCAGAACGUACGCUGGCGGCACGCCUUAUACAUGCAAGUCGAACGGAGUAGCAAUACUUAGUGGCAGACGGGUGAGUAACAUGUGGGAACCUUCCCUUUGGUGAGGAAUAACACGAGGAAACUUGUGCUAAUACCUCAUAAGUCUUUACGGAGAAAGCUUUAUGCGCCAAUGGAUGGGCCCGCACUUGAUUAGUUUGUUGGUGGGGUAACGGCCUACCAAGACUGUGAUCAAUAGCUGAUCUGAGAGGAUGAUCAGCCACAUUGGGACUGAGACACGGCCCAAACUUCUACGGGAGGCAGCAGUAGGGAAUAUUGCACAAUGGAGGAAACUCUGAUGCAGCGAUGCCGCGUGAGUGAAGAAGGCCCUUGGGUUGUAAAGCUCUUUCGUCGGGGAAGAAAAUGACUGUACCCGAAUAAGAAGGUCCGGCUAACUUCGUGCCAGCAGCCGCGGUAAUACGAAGGGACCUAGCGUAGUUCGGAAUUACUGGGCUUAAAGAGUUCGUAGGUUGUUAAAAAAGUUGGUGGUGAAAUCCCAGAGCUUAACUCUGGAACUGCCAUCAAAACUUUUUAGCUAGAGUUUGAUAGAGGAAAGCAGAAUUUCUAGUGUAGAGGUGAAAUUCGUAGAUAUUAGAAAGAAUACCAAUUGCGAAGGCAGCUUUCUGGAUCAUUACUGACACUGAGGAACGAAAGCAUGGGUAGCGAAGAGGAUUAGAUACCCUCGUAGUCCAUGCUGUAAACGAUGUGUGUUAGACGUUGGAAAUUUAUUUUCAGUGUCGCAGCGAAAGCAGUAAACAC